ACUCCUACGGGAGGCAGCAGUGGGGAAUAUUGCACAAUGGGCGAAAGCCUGAUGCAGCGACGCCGCGUGAGGGACGACGGCCUUCGGGUUGUAAACCUCUUUCAGUAGGGAACAAGGCAUCAUUUUUGUGGUGUUGAGGGUACUUGCAGAAGAAGCACCGGCUAACUACGUGCCAGCAGCCGCGGUAAUACGUAGGGUGCAAGCGUUAUCCGGAAUUACUGGGCGUAAAGCGCAUGCAGGUGGUUUGUUAAGUCAGAUGUGAAAGCCCGGGGCUCAACCUCGGAAUUGCAUUUGAAACUGGCAAACUAGAGUACUGUAGAGGGGGGUAGAAUUUCAGGUGUAGCGGUGAAAUGCGUAGGAGACUACGUAGCAGGGAAUGACCGGAUGGCGCCAGGCGGCCCCUGGACAGAUACUGACACUNAGAUGCGAAAGCGUGGGGAGGCAAACAGGAUUAGAUACCCUGGUAGGAUAGCG
rnacentral:rRNA from 1 species